AUACAAUAGGGAAAUAAAAUACAGUGUUUUUACAAACGUCAGGGAGCAACUGACUUCAUCAUGAUGUUAUUUGGUGUGUCGGUCCUCGCUCAUCAUUAUUAAGCCGUUUAGAUAGCUGGGCCCCAAUGUCUCAUUCGUCUCCGGGUAGAAGUGCUGAUCUAGGAUCAGUUUAGAACACAAUUAAUAAGGAUUGUGUGGACAGGUUGGACUGAGAUUAUUUUUUUAUAAGAUUAAUACAUGUAACAUAAAUUAGGUCAUAAUUAGCUCCUCCCCAUCAGCUGGUAAUAAAACAAUAUAAAAAGUUAAUAAAAACAGAAUAUGAGGGUAUCGGGGGCGGGGACACCACCUUACUGUUUAACUGUCACACUGUUCUGUCUAGCAUCCGCUGGUGGUUGUUGACAACAUCACGU
rnacentral:lncRNA from 13 species